CGCCUGCGGGAACACCUCCUCUUCACACAGCUGCUCCUCGCACACCUGCCAAACACCGGCUUUUAUCAUCCGAACGACACCGGGAAAAUGGUAAACAUUCUGAGUUGUAUCCCAGACACACUUGGGUUAUGUAGCAAGAAUCCCAGGAAAUCCCCCCCUAUGAAUGGCUACAAAUGACAGUAACAAGAAGGAGCAUGACCAGUUUCCACCAAGGUCUUGUCAUUUCAAAAUUUCUAACACAAAGGCAGCCAAAGUUUUUUUUACCCU